CGGGAGACCGCGGAUGGGCAGGGUCUGCGAAGGGGCGGCGGCCGGCAGGGACAAUGGGCACAGCUGCUGGCGAACGGCCCGGCCCUUCGCCGGCUGCAGCGGACACGUGUCGGUCGCUGCGUUUGGAGGGACGGACUUAAUGGUGGCCUCGCAGCGGGCGGAGCGGGACAGGUUUGCAAAGCAAAGCCCUCCCCGCAGGAUCUGGGGCUCACUCUGGCCCGGGAGCCCAGGACCGGAGGCCCAGGAAAGGGCGCAGGGGCACAGGACGCCCGGGACCCGCCCCUCCGGGUAGGGUCUGGGGGCGGAAAUCCUUCCUGGGACCCCCCAGCGGCGAGUGGGGACCGGACGCGGGUCCCGACCUGUGCCGGCGCUCACCUGGUGGCCCGCUCGGAGGCGGCGGCAGGCAAAGAUCCCCUUCCCCCCGCUGCUCCGGGAGGCGGGCGGGGGCUCCCCGGAUCGGCCCCCCAGGGAGCCCCGGGGCGGGCGGUCCUCCCCCGGGGGUGCUGGCGGCCGCGGCGGCUCUGGAUGCGGCCCGCCCUCCUCGGGCGGCUGUGCCGGCGGGCGGGACCCGGGAGCGCGGCGGGCGCCGGGCCGGGCCCAGCUGCCACGAGGCGGGCGGGGACCAGAGCCAGCCCCGCGCUCCCGGGUCUGGGGGCCCGCCCCUCGGGGAGCCUGCGCGGUCCCCACGUGGGGACCUGCGGCCCCGGCGCCCCGCGAUCUGACACCUGGGUCCCCGGCGCCCAGCCCGCCGCCUCCUCUGGGGACGCCCCCGGUUCCCCCAGGACCCCCAGACCCGGGUUUCUUUCUCACCCCGGCCUCCCGCCUCCAGCCGCCUCCGCCAUUCGCAACACCUCCCCACCAUCUGUCCCCUGCUCUUACGUGGCUUAGCUGAGACUGUGACGCUGGGCCUGGUUUGAAACACUGGAUCAGAGUUCCUCCCGCGGGGAUCCUCUCUAACUUACAUCGUGUCCCCAGAGCCUCGGAAACCCGGCCUGCUCCCACGCUGAGCCUCGCUACCCCGCUUACUUCUCUGCGGCCGCGACAACCUGUGCCCCCUGCUUUGGAAACCCGCCUCCCCCGCCUGUAUGACACACAACUGGAUUAACCCGAGGUUCAGGGCCAGCGAGGCCGAGGCCACCAGCUAUUUGUCCCCUGCCCUCUGCCCUUGGGCCCGCACCGUUCCUGCAUUGCCCUAGAUUGUCCAAAGGUCCUCAAGUGACUGCUCUCAGACAUCCCAGGGCCGGUCCCCUGAAUGCCAGGCCGCCCACCACGAGUAAAGCCUCGCUGGCACUCGCUCAUGGUGUGCACUGUGCGCGAUGCUUUAUAGGCACGACCCCAGGGACGCUCUCCUGGGAAACUGAGGCCCAGAGAAAUGUAGGCUCUGCACCCGGUGCAAGUCGCUUGCUUGGGGGGAGGGGGGGUGGUCACACGACAGGAAAGUGUUCGGGCGUGGGUUCCCCGGUCCCCUCCGCUAGGAGCUUCUGCAAGGGACCCCAGCGCCAUUGCCAGGACCGCGUGGGAUCCCGCGUGCAGCGCCGAGGGAUCCUUACCUCUCCGUCACCUGGACCCACCGCCUUUCCGAGCAUUUCUGUCGCAGAAGGCGAUAGGAGGCAUAUACCGUACACAGAGUUCUGCAAUAGUCCCAGCAGAGUGACGGCCGUGCUCCGUGAUCUCGCGAUGUUUCUGCUUCAAAGCGCGUCUGGAGAGGAGCACACGCGUAGCGGAGGAAUAGAAGUUAUAAAUCCCCCCGAUGUCGCUUCAGUCGGGUCUUACUGGGUGGAGAGCUGGGGGCCUAAUUGGUGAAGAAAGUUUGCUUGCGGACUGGAGAUAAUAGCAAUGACUUUUUCUUUCUUUUAUUGAUACCAUCAAUAAGCGCCUGCUGUGCACCAGAUGCAGACCGCAUGGAUGAUGUGGGUUUACAGGCACCAUGCGAUUUAUGUCAAUAAAGGAUACCAGCUUAUUUUAGAUGAGUUAGAAAAAUCACAGGGGACUCCAGUAAAAUAAUUGGAUCAUCAAAGGAUGCUAAAACCAUUGGUAAAGGUUGUUGCGGAACAUUCUAGAAUCAUCCCCCCCCCCAGAUGACUUAUUCAUUACAAAGGGGAAAAAAUGUACCUACCUAGUGAGGGGGAGUGGGUUCUGGCAGACACCCUCUUAACCGAGUGAUCAAUAUCCCCAAAGUGGGACAGCGUGACAUCAAGUCAAGUGCCUCUUGAUGUGAAACUAUAGGAAGUACACAAAAGUGCCUAUGCGGAACUCUUGUAAAAAAAAAAAAAAAAAGCUAAACCUGUGUUUAGUAAUGAAGGAUAUACCCAAGAUAACUGGCCAGGGCUUUUUUCAAAAAAAGAGACGUAACACCCAAAUGCGGUGUGCACGGUGACCGGGUCCCGGCUGGGCCGUUCGCUCUGGGUGCUCUCUUGCUCUGCUGGUUUCUUCUCCUGUCUGGUGCUGCUCUCCUGCUCCUAGCCAUUCUCCAAGGAGAGGCGAGGCCACUGCCUGGAGGUGAUGGCGGUGUGCUUUCUGCUGGAAGCCUGGGCCUGUUUUCCUCUGCCCUUGAGUUGGAGCAUGAAUGGCAGCUUUGUGGCCGGGUGUGGGGCUAGCCGCCAGGCUGGCCUCACAUGUGGGUUGGUGAGGCCAGGAGCCCACUUCCUGCCACCCCUCCCUUCUACCACAAGUGCCAGAAGAGGACUGGCUUUUUUAAGAAGCCAGCCCCUCCCUCGUUCCCACCUCAGCUGUCAGAGAGUUGGGUCUUCUUAGGGAUCCACCCUGCAGUCCUUGUUUUCCUCGACGUGAGUGGGGGGUGGCCUGUGCCCUGGAGAAAGGGGACGUGGGAUGGUGCACAAAAUGCAGGCAGGCUGUCAUCGGGGCCGUCUUGGCUAUCUUUUCUCACUCCUGCCUCCUCCCCACAACCCAGGUGAUGCUGGGUUCCCUCUUGCGGGCAGCCCUCUCCUGAAUGACCUCUGAUUCCUGUCCCCACGCCUCUACCUGAUUUGUCUGCCAGAACUGUGUGGGCAUCUCCCCAGUGGAGAUGGUCUCUGUGGGUCAUUGACUAAUGGUCCCCUAAAGAUGUCCACGCCUGGAUCCUUGGAACCUGCGAAUGUUCCCUUACAUGGCAAAAGGGAUAUUGCAGAUGGAGGAGGUGAAGGAUCUUGAAACGGGGAGGUUAACCUGGUUUCUCUGGGCGGGUCCUGAAUGGAAUCCCAGUGGUCCUCCUAAGAGGGGGACAGGAGGAGGCGGGGAUGGCAGUGGACAACAGAAGCAGAGAUUGCAGUGACGAGAUGUGAAGAGCGAGGAAGAGGCCACCAGCCCAGGAAGAAAGGUGGAAGAAACCAGGAAGAAAGGUGGCCGCUAGACACUGAAAAAGGCAAGGACACGGAUUCCCCACUCAGCAUCUCCAGAAGGGACCAACCGGGCCAACACCUUGACUUCAGCCCAGUGAAACUGACUUGGAACUUUUAACUCCCAGAACGCUAAAAGAAUACAUUGUGUUGUUUUAAGGCACUAAGCUGAUGGCAAUUUGUUCCAGCAGCCACAGGAAAGAACACAGUCUCCUUCUCAAUCUUUUUGCCGUUGUCAGUUGACUUGCUUUUUUAUUCCACUGCUUUAUACAAAUGAGAGAGUGUAAGGACACUCUGAGAUGGCGGGCUCCGGGUCAGACCUUAUCUCUUGGUGACACCCCUAAUUCCUGAGCUCCCCAAGGCAAGUCUCUGUGUUGUCAGUUUCCUUAUGGUGUGAGGAUCAAGUCGGACGAUGCCGAAGUCACGGGUUGGCAGCCUCCAGUUUAGAGUAGACCCACAGCUUCCCUUGGAAACAGAAAGGCCCGGCAGCUUGAUUUGCACUCUCACGUGGAGCGAGUGGCUGGAAGAGGGGCCCCCUGUGGGAUCCACCGUCUCCCGCUGUCAUCGUCCCCACCCUGAGCUGUGGCGUGCCUGGGCUCUCACCCAUCACCAUACCUGCCUGGCCCUGUGGGCAUUGAUGGUGGCAGCUCCCGAGAUAAUCUUUUCAAAGCUCUUAGCCCAGAGCCCGGCCCUGCAGACCACGAUGCUGUGAGCAGAGGAAGGGGAUCUCAAAAACAGAGGCAGCUGGUCUCGUGUCAGUGAUGGCGCUUCAGGGACCAGUGAAUAAACUAGAGCGACAACUGCACGGCGAGGAUGUGCACAUUUGUCUUUGUUUUUGUCUUUUUUGAGGAAGAUUAGCCCUGACCUAACAUCUGCCAUCAAUCCUCCUCUUUUUGCUGAGGAAGACUGGCCCUGAGCUAACAUCCGUGCCCAUCUUCCUCUACUUUAUAUGUGGGAUGCCUGCCACAGCAUGGCUUGACAAACAGUGCCAUGUCUGCACCUGGGAUCUGAAUCGGUGAACACUGGGCCAGCCUGAGGAUGAGCACAUUCGGAGGGCAGAGAGUUAACAUGCAAAUGCAUUUCAGGUAGAGGAGUCUUCUGAAUGACGAAGGCAAGUUGCAAGGGGUGGGAUUUACGACAUGCUACCCCGAAAUAUGGCAUAUUGGAUAUUUUAAGCUGAAAGAGUUUGAGAAAAUGGCAGAAGCUGGAAUUAGAGACUGGGUCUUUAAUUAAAUUAAGACUGGGUCCUAAGAGUAAAUUUAAGAGCAAAGGAACACUUCUUCCUCCCCUACUCAAGAAACCCAUUUGGGGAACACAGAGAACACCAGCGCAGAUGGAGGCGUGGUGUCGGUGUAGGCUCAUGCGCUCGUGCACAGAUACAGACACACGCACUCGGAUCUGUAGGUGCACACGCAGAGGAAGCAUCGAGAAAAUAUUCUCAGCGCACGCCCCGCCCGGAGAGAGCCCCGCCUGCAGGCCCGGGCUGGGUUCUCCGCUCUGCCGGGGGCGCCGUGCGCACUAACGUCGGUGCUGUGGGUAGUUGGCACUGGAGUUGGCGAUUGGGACCAAGUAUCGUGUGCCCACUCUCUCCCUCCCUCAGCCCCGUGUAAAUGUCCCAACGUCCUCUCCCCGGAUCCUCCAUGGCUGCCAGGACAAACUCGAUGCUUUAAAACAACACAUGUUUCUUCUAUGCGGUUCUGGAGGUCAGAAGUCCAAAUUCAGCUUCACCGGGCGAGGAGGCAGGGCGUCGGCAGGGCCGCCUUCCUUCUGAGGCUCCGGGGAGAAUCCGCUCCGGCCUCUGGGGCGGCCGGCUCUCCUUGGCUUGUGGCUGCAUCGCUCCAGUCUCUGCCGCCCUCGUCGUAUUGCCCGCUCCUGUUCUGCAGCUGAGGCUCCCUCUGCGUCCCUUGUAAGGACUUGUGAUCACGUGUAGGGCCACCUGGAUAAUCUGGGCUGGCGUCCCCAUCUCAAGACCCUGUGAAGGCCCUUUUGCCGUAUAAGGUAACAUCCCCAAGUUCCAGGCAUUAGGACCUAGAUAAUUUUGGGGGCCAUUAUUCAGCCUAUCACAAACCAUAGAUCUUUUAUAAUACGAGUAGUCAUGAUCCUAAUAGUUGUCAGACAGUAAUGUUCCAUCAUUAUUAGCUCUCAAAUCUCAUGUGCCCGGUGCUGGGCUUAGAGAUCCAGGCCCGCUGUCUCAUCGAAGCUUCCUGCAAGCUCCCAUCACCAUCCCAAAGAUACAGGCGAAGACAACACAGGAGAGGGAGGAGCUGGAUUGGGCCGGGAGCCCGUGGCCACCAUCCUGGGCUGACCCCCUUAGGAGUGCAAGAAUCCCAGUUCCCCUCGGAUGCCCCCUUCCCUGGGGGGGUUUCCUGAGUCUUUGCGUAUGUUGGAUCUUACAAAUCCACUCAUUGAGGUGUUGGCCCCUUCACGAACUCCUCCUGCCAUCAUUUUGUGAUGCUGGCCCGCCUCCGCAGGAGCUGCCCAGCUGAAGCAGAGAACUGAGGACCGCGGGGUCCUCUCCGUGCCAGCGCACUGCGGGGACUCUGCAAACCAUGGUCACGCCCACACAGAUAAUACCUCCAGGCGAGCGCUGGGCAUGGUUUUCUCUGAGGCAGUUUGUGCCGGAUCUCGAGGCUGCAACCUGGAUGUCCUUUGAAGACCCGGACUUAGGAAGAAAGGGAGCCGGUGGCUUUUGUCAAGCUGGCCACCUGGGGGACCGGGAGUCUGUGGGUUGCCAGAGGGCUAAUGGCUUAUGAGAAGACAAUCUGAAAAGCAGUGUAUGAAUCUCAGAUCUCUUGCAAAGAAAUCUAGCCUUUCCUGGGGCAAAGACAGAGGAGAGCAGUGUUUACAGCUGAUGGUGUGUGUGCCUGGGGUGGGUUGCCCUACGACUUACAGGAGACAAAAUGUGUUUAUUACCAACUGUAAUAUGUUUUCGGGAAAAAACUAAAAACACGUGCCAGGCACACCAAACUAUAAGAUCUUGGUUAUUAUUGAUCAAAAUGAGGCUAAUUAAAAAAAGAAAAAGAGCAUGUUGAUUAAAAGAUGAUGUGGGGGUUUGGGAAAAGCCGACAUUUCGCUGUUCUAACAGAGAUGCAAGUUGGAAGUUUAUUUUGCUCUCCCCAUUGGUCUCCAGGUUGACGAAAUGACUCUGCUCCACAGAGUCAGUCAGGGACCCUGGUUCCUUCUAGGUGUUGGUCUUGUCUGUGUGGUCAGAGGGCUUGUUGUUGCUACCACAGCCCACUGCCUGUGCCUGGCUGCAAGGGAGUAUGGGAAAUAGAGACUUUCUUUCCGGGCGGGGUAAUAGAAUCU
rnacentral:lncRNA from 1 species